GUGGGGAAUCUUGGACAAUGGGCGCAAGCCUGAUCCAGCCAUGCCGCGUGAGUGAUGAAGGCCUUAGGGUUGUAAAACUCUUUCGUCGGGGACGAUAAUGACGGUACCCGAAGAAGAAGCCCCGGCUAACUUCGUGCCAGCAGCCGCGGUAAUACGAAGGGGGCUAGCGUUGUUCGGAUUUACUGGGCGUAAAGCGCGUGUAGGCGGGCUGGUAAGUUGGGGGUGAAAUCCCGAGGCUCAACCUCGGAACUGCCUCCAAAACUGUCAGCCUGGACUCAAGUAGAGGCAAGUGGAAUUGCGAGUGUAGAGGUGAAAUUCGUAGAUAUUCGCAGGAACACCAGUGGCGAAGGCGACUUGCUGGACUUGUAGUGACGCUGAGACGCGAAAGCGUGGGGAGCAAACAGGAUUAGAAACCCCGGUAGUCC
rnacentral:rRNA from 1 species